AUUAAAUGACAGGGGGGGAAAAAGUAUUUUCCUUACACAUUUACUUAAGUCGGGCAUAUUCUAAUAACAUUUUAUAAUGGCGUGGAAAUAUGAGAUAAUUCAAAAUAAUUAUAUAUAUUGUUUUUGUUGUCAUAGGUUCUUAGGACAAGGGGCUGUGAUUGUAUUUUUUCAGUCGCACCAUCCAUGGCCAAGAAUUCUACCUCAAAUAUUUUUUUUAAACAAAACUAUAUAUAAAUUAUGAUGAAAUAGUGGUUAGAAACAAAAGGUUGAGUAGAUACUUUAAUGUAGGUAGGUACUUUUAUUUAUGUCGCACUAGAACUGUACAAUGGGCUAUUGACAACGGUCUGGGAAACAUCACUGAGAAUGAUCCGAAGAAGUUUGCCAUCACAAAUUUCGUCACGCCAUCUCCUCAAUUUAUAUAUAGAUAUGAAGGGAAAAGAAAUUUUCACCAGAUCCCUGUACCCAUGGUACUGCUAAGCGACUGACCACAGGACUUUCCAUUCCAGAGAUUUUGCAGAGCACGUAUAAUGCAUGCACUUCUCGGUGAGAGGUUAGCAGAAUCAGGGAUCGAACCCUGCAAUUUUAAUUAAGAAAAAUAAAUAAUAACAGUUUAUAUGGCUUAAUUUAAAAUUCCAGAUUAUGCUUUCAUUUCUCACAAAAAGUACAGCAUUUAUGUUUCAUAUAUAAGGUAGCAGUCGGUGUGAAUGCUCCUUGAUAUACGUUGCUUCUAUACAUUCGACCCCACGUCAAGGGCAAUCAGAGAUGCAGUGUGAAUUGUGCUUGAGUGUUCUUUUCAAACUUUACGCUUGGGUCGAGUAGCAAAAUAUCAACUCAACUUCUUCUUGUCAGUUGUUAUUCCACAAGCCGGCGUGGUUUUCUCAUUGCAUUAGUUUGGAGGAGUUGAAAUGAAAAUUGGAGCCUCUGAAUGUUGAGUUGAUCGUUUGGAUGAGAAGUGAUUCCGAUGCCUUUGAGAGGAUGA